GCCCUUCCCUCCUCCAGAAGAUCCACGGCGAACGAUGGGGUCACAGUUACUGGAAUGAUUUUCUGGUUACUCACGUUUAUCGGCAUCCCUAGCUGCAGCAGGACACGGUACAAAGGUCCGUCAGCCGAUGUCUGAGGAUUCUCACACAAGGGUCAAAAAGUCAAGAAAGACGAAACACCGACUGUGUGUAUCAUGUUCCCAGACUUUGGCAGACGAUAUAGAAGGAGGCACUUGUGGCAUGUGUUCCCCACAACAACAUCCAGUUCAAGAGGAAACAUUUGGUGAAUCACCUUCUACCUCACCUCUCCAUACUCACGUCCCGCCCAUCCCAACCUCCCAUCAGUCCUCCACCGCUCCAG